CAACCCUCAGGCACAGCCUGGUGUUGGGACUCUGCGCCUGCAGUUCCCGAAAUACAGCGGCGGUCCUUCUAAAAGCCCUGCGUAGUACUACUCCUCGCUUGGUAUUUUAGGCGGCCCAGCCUUUUUAUUACUCUUAUAA
rnacentral:misc_RNA from 1 species